ensembl:lncRNA
GUAACAAGCGCCUAUUGUCUGUUGCAUCAUUCACCACAGUGUUCCAAACUGCCUCUGAAAGCAACAUUGGGAGCUUCAUGAAAUGCAUUUCCAUGGCCAAGCAGCUGUACGCAAGCCUUACAUCAACAUGCGCAAUGCCAAGGGUCGGCUGGAGUUGGUAUUUUAUAAAGUGUCCUCCAUUCCCCCUUGCCAUGUGGUCUGCCUCCCCCAUCUUCACAAUACUGACAGACUUUGCCACAUCCAACUCCACUGCUGCUGAUCCCUGGAAAACCCAUUUCAUCACGAGUGUGAGAUGACGCCGGCCAUGGAUGGGGAGAACAUCCACACAUAAGAUGUGUUUAUAGGACUAGGGACUCUGCUGGGGC